CAUUCCAGGGACCUAGAGAUCACCUCUCCACAGUUGAGGACAAAGGCCAGACCUCUGUUGGGUAUUGUUACCAUCCUCAUGAACAGAUGAAGAAAUUGAGGCAAAGAGAGCAACUUCCCCAAGGUCAUCUAACCCCCAGGUGGCCCCAGAGAUGGAACUGGUUCUGUUGGAUUCCAGAGCAUCAAGCCCUUAACCACUGUUCCGCAAUGGAUUGGGGCAGUCCAGUGAGAUCAUGGCAACGGACAGGCCAUUUCCAGAAGAGGAUUUAGCUUGAAAUCAGGCUUAGAGUGAGGCAUGAGAUGAUAAGAUAAAAUGACACUGAAUAAUCUGUGAAAAACGCAGUAGAAAGCCACUGCAAGUUCAAAUGGUGAAAGAGAUCAUUGUUAAAGAUACAGAGUUCAGAGGAAGUAAUGGUAUGUGACUUCUGAGGCUGGCUCAUAAAAGGUGCUGCAGCUCCCUCCUGGUUCUCCUGGGACACUGGCUCUGUGGGAAGUCAGCCACCAUGUAAGAAGUCUGACAAUCCUGAGACCACCUGCUGGAGAGAACACGUGUAAACAAUUCAGGAGACAGCCCAAGCUGAGCUCCCAGCCAAGUGCCCAGCAUCGACUGCCAGCCAUGCGAGUGAGCCAACUUGGGCGUCUGGCCCAAUCGUGCCUUCAGACGACUGCAGUCCCAGCCAGCAUCUAAUUGCGUCCGCGUGAGAGAUUCCAAGAUAAAACUGCCCACCAGAGCUCUCCCAGUUUCCUGACUCAUAAAAUCAACAAGCAAAAUAAAAUGGUUGUUGUUUUAUACCA